AUUGAACGCUGGCGGCAGGCUUAACACAUGCAAGUCGAGCGGGGGAAGGUAGCUUGCUACCGGACCUAGCGGCGGACGGGUGAGUAAUGCUUAGGAAUCUGCCUAUUAGUGGGGGACAACAUCUCGAAAGGGAUGCUAAUACCGCAUACGUCCUACGGGAGAAAGCAGGGGAUCUUCGGACCUUGCGCUAAUAGAUGAGCCUAAGUCGGAUUAGCUAGGUGGGGGGGUAAAGGCCUACCAAGGCGACGAUCUGUAGCGGGUCUGAGAGGAUGAACCGCCACACUGGGACCGAGACACGGCCCAGACUCCUACGGGAGGCAGCGGUGGGGAAUAUUGGACAAUGGGGGGAACCCUGAUCCAGCCAUGCCGCGUGUGGGAAGAAGGCCUUAUGGUUGUAAAGCACUUUAAGCGAGGAGGAGGCUACUCUAGUUAAUACCUAGGGAUAGUGGACGUUACUCGCAGAAUAAGCACCGGCUAACUCUGUGCCAGCCGCCGCGGUAA
rnacentral:rRNA from 1 species